rnacentral:rRNA from 1 species
UACAGAGGGGGCAAGCGUUAUUCGGAAUUAUUGGGCGUAAAGGGCGCGUAGGCGGCUUUGCAAGUGGCGGGUGAAAUCCCUCGGCUUAACCGAGGAACUGCCUGUCAAACUGCAUGGCUUGAGACCAGGAGAGGUGAGUGGAAUUCCCAGUGUAGCGGUGAAAUGCGUAGAUAUUGGGAGGAACACCAGUGGCGAAGGCGGCUCACUGGAC